GAGGAUAUAAUUCAGUGGUAGAGUGCAUGCUUAGCAUACAUGAGGUCCUGGGUUCAAUCCCUAGUACCUCCA
rnacentral:tRNA from 1 species